ACGGGCCGGUGCGGACGCCCGUUCAGGCGAAGCGCUCGCCCAAGUUCCGC
rfam:Sphingopyxis sp. LC363 contig6, whole genome shotgun sequence.